GCCCAGGAGGAGGAGAAACUUUACCUUGGAGUGGCCUAUCUCUUGAAUGGUCCUCUGAGCCUGCUUUAUUUUCCAGGGAACCUGUGCCAACCACCUCCACUCUGCACACCAGACUUCCCUUCAUCAUCAAGUCAGCCACAGAGGAUCCCAACAGUGAAAUCCAGAAGGCUUUAAGGUUCAGGAGGCUGACUGAGUCACACAGAGGACCUAUAUCAUCCCAAUGUCACCAAUUUCUUGAUGCACCCAUGGAUUCUUUGGGAUAGUGGCUGUGUAUGUCAACCUAGCCAGCCUCUGGUGCCCGCAAACUGGUCAGAUGCCACGCAGAUGUUGCUGCAAAGCUAUAAGCUCCACGCCAGAUGGCUCCACAGAAGUCUCGCGGCAGUGGAGGACAGCUCAGAGAAGCUGCUGCCGGGACUCCCUGCGUGCACGACAGGGCCACUUCACAAGACUUGUUAUUGAGGGCAUCAGGUGAGGAACUGUGAAACCCAAGUGCUCAGAUCCCCUUCAGGAAAGAGCAGCUUCCUUUGAGCUGAAGAAUGCCUGGCUCUCACUCACUAAUGAGUGGGCUUAGCCAUGCCCAUCAUCCCCCUGCCCUUCUCAUUACCUGAACAAGCAAGAGGUAAUUACAGAAGUCAAGCCUCCGUGCCUUCUAGAGAAUGCUGACAUUACCGUGACAGGCGAACACCCAUGCACUGUGUCCAGAUAAGCAUGGCAUACUCACUGGCCAGUUUUUCUCACCCUUAAUGUCUCUUCCAGAUUCACAAAUGGUUGG